rnacentral:rRNA from 1 species
GGACGAACGCUGGCGGCGUGCUUAACACAUGCAAGUCGAGCGGUAAGGCCCUUCGGGGUACACGAGCGGCGAACGGGUGAGUAACACGUGGGUGAUCUGCCUCGUACUCUGGGAUAAGCCUGGGAAACUGGGUCUAAUACCGGAUAUGAYCACGAAUCGCAUGGUUUGUGGUGGAAAGAUUUAUCGGUGCGAGAUGGGCCCGCGGCCUAUCAGCUUGUUGGUGGGGUAAUGGCCUACCAAGGCGACGACGGGUAGCCGGCCUGAGAGGGCGACCGGCCACACUGGGACUGAGACACGGCCCAGACUCCUACGGGAGGCAGCAGUGGGGAAUAUUGCACAAUGGGCGGAAGCCUGAUGCAGCGACGCCGCGUGCGGGAUGACGGCCUUCGGGUUGUAAACCGCUUUCGACUCCGACGAAGCGAGAGUGACGGUAGGRGUAGAAGAAGCACCGGCCAACUAC